rnacentral:rRNA from 1 species
UCGAGUCGGCCUGCGCGGAAGAUGUAACGGGGCUAAACCAUGCACCGAAGCUGCGGCAGCGAACGUAUCACUUAAAGCGAUUCAGCGGGUUACGAUUGACGGAGCGAAGCGACGUCAAAGCGUAUACAAAGUCGAGUCGGUUUAAGGAUACGUUCGUUGGGUAGGGGAGCGUUCUGUAAGCCUGUGAAGGUGUGUCGUGAGGCAUGCUGGAGGUAUCAGAAGUGCGAAUGCUGACAUAAGUAACGAUAAAGCGGGUGAAAAGCCCGCUCGCCGGAAGACCAAGGGUUCCUGUCCAACGUUAAUCGGGGCAGGGUGAGUCGACCCCUAAGGCGAGGCCGAAAGGCGUAGUCGAUGGGAAACGGGUUAAUAUUCCCGUACUUGGUGUUACUGCGAAGGGGGGACGGAGAAGGCUAUGUUGGCCGGGCGACGGUUGUCCCGGUUUAAGCGUGUAGGUGUGUGUUCCAGGUAAAUCCGGUUCACUUUAACACUGAGGCGUGACGACGAGGCACUACGGUGCUGAAGCAACAAAUGCCCUGCUUCCAGGAAAAGCCUCUAAGCAUCAGGUAACAUCAAAUCGUACCCCAAACCGACACAGGUGGUCAGGUAGAGAAUACCAAGGCGCUUGAGAGAACUCGGGUGAAGGAACUAGGCAAAAUGGUGCCGUAACUUCGGGAGAAGGCACGCUGACACGUAGGUGAAGUGAUUUACUCAUGGAGCUGAAGUCAGUCGAAGAUACCAGCUGGCUGCAACUGUUUAUUAAAAACACAGCACUGUGCAAACACGAAAGUGGACGUAUACGGUGUGACGCCUGCCCGGUGCCGGAAGGUUAAUUGAUGGGGUCAGCGCAAGCGAAGCUCCUGAUCGAAGCCCCGGUAAACGGCGGCCGUAACUAUAACGGUCCUAAGGUAGCGAAAUUCCUUGUCGGGUAAGUUCCGACCUGCACGAAUGGCGUAAUGAUGGCCAGGCUGUCUCCACCCGAGACUCAGUGAAAUUGAACUCGCUGUGAAGAUGCAGUGUACCCGCGGCAAGACGGAAAGACCCCGUGAACCUUUACUAUAGCUUGACACUGAACAUUGAGCCUUGAUGUGUAG